rfam:Triticum aestivum genome assembly, contig: Triticum_aestivum_CS42_TGACv1_scaffold_621805_7DS
GGUGUACUCCCUCCGUCUCCAAAUACUUGUCGGAGUAAUACAUAAAAAUGGAUGUAUCUAGAACUAAAAUACGUCUAGAUACAUCCAUUUCUCGGACAAGUAUUUCCGGACGGAGGGAGUACUUA